rnacentral:misc_RNA from 1 species
AACGAGGCCGACCUGCGGCUGAGUUACCUGCGGAGGGAUCAUUACUGUUAAACUUUAUAAACACCAGAGUUUCAAACUCUGUGUUUGCAAACAAAAAACACCUUUCAAAACAGCUAUUCAGUGUCUGAAUUAACUAGUUUAAUAUAAAAACAACUUUCAACAACGGAUCU